UGCCAUUUUCCCAUCUUAGGCUCCAGAAGCAGAAUCAAGUGGGAUGUCUUGGAAGAAAAACAAACAAAAGGCCCACUAGGUGGAGUGAAAUGGAUCAGGAGCAAUUAUGUUCAAUUUCACCUUUAAGUUUUCUCAAAAGGAGGAGCAUUAAGAAUCAGCCACCUUAGUACAUACUUAAAGAUUUACUGAAACCUGAUCCUGUCCCCGCUGAUGAAACAUCAGAGGAAUGGGAUCCUGUAGGUGAAGAUCAUCAGCUUAUAAAAUCCUGUUGCCAUCAAUGGGGGUAGCAGGAAAAUGAUGAAGAUUGGUUAAGGGGCCAGUGGACUCAGCAUUGAAAUGAAUCAUGGACUUGAAGCCAAAAGACUCAGUUUGUGUCCCAGCUCUCUCAAGCAAAGCCCCCAAGUCCCAGUUUCCUCAUCUAUAAAAAAUAAUAAAAAUACUUAAUGGACAAA
rnacentral:lncRNA from 1 species